AUAAUAAUAAUAAUAAUAAACCAUAUCCAAUGGAAAAGAGAAGGCUAUAAACCAUGAUCUCCCCACCUCUUCUUCCUACAUUAAACCACUCAAAUGCCCUUUUUCCAUUUUUUAGACAACAUUUUACAAAAAACUUCUCUCAUCAAGAUAAAUAAAAAAGAAAAGGCAAAGGAGCUCCAUGGUCUAAACCCAACAAAUGGAAGAAACUAGAUGUACAUGAAUGGAAUUUAAAGGAGUGCUCCUUCUUAUCCACCUAUAAAAUAUAAAAAAAGAAAGCCCUAACAAGCAUGAUCAUAGGCUUUCUCCUUAUCAAGUUCACAAAUCAUUAUUCUCCAAUAUUUGGUACUAGCAUCUAUAAAACUGUUACUGGUCAAUAUAGAAUCCAGAAUUCCUCCCUUCAAACAAAAUUUGUGUUCACAUAUCCCGACAAUUUUAUAGAUAAACUUCGUUAAUUGCAAUGCCAGCCCUUUGGAGCAUACACACUUCGUUAAUUGCAAUGCCAGCCCUUUGGAGCAUACACACUUCGUUAAUUGCAAUGCCAGCCCUCUGUCUUUAAUAACUUCAACCAUAAAAAUCCUCAAUUUCAUAACAACCCAGCAAUAUACUUCAAGUCACUUCUAGCUAUCUCCCAUUUUGCUUCAAAGAACUUCCUCCUCAUUGCGAUCUCUUACAGCUUAAUAAUUUCUACAUUAAUUAUAAACAAAUGGUUUAUCAAGCCAAGGAGUCAUUAAUGUUCCAAUGCCACCAAAAUGUAUGGCUCCCAAUGCCACCAAAAUUUAUGGCUCCCAAUACACCUUUCAACUAGUUGACAAAGGAGUUCUAUAGAAAUUAUAAAUAGCAUCCCCCAUCACAACUCUUCAACCCUUUUUUUAAGCCACUCUGUGAAAAAUUUAUUGUUUCAAUCCCCUUCACUUAACUAAAAUGCCCUAGAUAAAGACUACAAGGAAUUUCCUCCAUACAAUAACAGUGGAGACUUCCUCCUUUAUCAUCACAUUCAUCUGCUUCUCUUCAAAAAAGCAUUAAAUGUCAACAACAUAUAGAGAAGACUUAGUAACCUAAUAUAUUGUUGGCAACAUCACAACUAAACCAAUUUCUAAACAUAACACUAAUCCCAAGGGAUUUUUUUGAAAUAAUUAUGCUUGUAAGAAGAUGUGCACACAUAGGAGGUAGGGUUAGAAGUCCCUAGGCUCUUUAGUCUUAACAGGAGUUCUAGAGGCAACAUAAGAUUUUGUCGCAGCAAGGAAAUUAAGCUUUCAAUGAAUUACAGAAAAAAAAAAUGCAGAGAAAGAUGCAGAAGAGCAAAUGUUGCCACAUCAUUUUCACUUCCCAAAGCACUCAUUAUGAUCAUUCUCAAUAUGAAACUGUGUCAAUUGCAACAUUUACUUGCUCAGUUGAACACUUACUUGGUAUCAAUAAAUAUAAGCCAUAUUAACAAUUGUCUAAAACUAUAAAUAAAUAUGAGAAUAAAACAUGCAAAAUAUAUAUCAUUGUCAUGCAAAAUAUAUAUCAUUGUCUUUCUUUUAAUGGCCAAAUUGCAACAGAAUGAUCUAUUGACUGAUCAAAACUAUAAUUUGCAGAAAGCAGAGUUUAAAUGGAUACCGCAAAUUCUCACAUGGAAAAGUUGUAGAAGCAUUAGCUGGGAGAUCAAUUGUCAAGAGUAAGAAUGAUUCUCUCUAUUAGAUGCUUACAAGAUGGUUAAUAUUUCAAAAAACUGUUCUUUAGGAUUGAAAACAAAAUAUCCAAAAGAUUAC
rnacentral:misc_RNA from 1 species